rnacentral:rRNA from 1 species
UAGGGAAUCUUCGGCAAAUGGGGGCAACCCUGACCGAGCAACGCCGCGUGAGUGAAGAAGGUUUUCGGAUCGUAAAGCUCUGCUGUAAGAGAAGAACGAGUGUGAGAGUGGAAAGUUCACACUGUGACGGUAACUUACCAGAAAGGGACGGCUAACUACGUGCCAGCAACCGCGGUAAUACGUAGGUCCCGAGCGUUAUCCGGAUUUAUUGGGCGUAAAGCGAGCGCAGGCGGUUAGAUAAGUCUGAAGUUAAAGGCUGUGGCUUAACCAUAGUACGCUUUGGAAACUGUUUAACUUGAGUGCAGAAGGGGAGAGUGGAAUUCCAUGUGUAGCGGUGAAAUGCGUAGAUAUAUGGAGGAACACCGGUGGCGAAAGCGGCUCUCUGGUCUGUAACUGACGCUGAGGCUCGAAAGCGUGGGGAGCAAACAGGAUUAGAUACCCUGGUAGUCCACGCCGUACACGAUGAGUGCUAGGUGUUGGGUCCUUUCCGGGGACUCAGUGCCGCAGCUAACGCAUUAAGCACUCCGCCUGGGGGAGUACGACCGCAAGGUUG